rfam:Ictidomys tridecemlineatus contig050164, whole genome shotgun sequence.
AUCGCUUCUCAGCUUUUUGGCUAAGAUCAAGUGUAGUAUCUGUUCUUAUCAGUUUAAAAAGGAAUCCCAUACCCUGAGGUUUUUAUUUGAUGUCCAUGUUUUUCAUCUACAUGUCUGACCACUGGCAGUUGACUAUUUUACAUGUUUAGCCUCGAAACAGAAGAAAAAUUGCUUCACUUUAUUUGUGGAUAAAUUCAG